rnacentral:tRNA from 7 species
GGACGGUUAGCUCAGUUGGUAGAGCACUGUGUUCACAUCGCAGGGGUCACUGGUUCGAGUCCAGUACCGUCCACCA